AAAAAAGGUAAGCUACUAAGAGCGAAUGGUGGAUGCCUUGACUGGUAAAGGCGAUGAAGGACGUACUAGACUGCGAUAAGCUACGGGGAGCUGUCAAGAAGCUUUGAUCCGUAGAUUUCCGAAUGGGGCAACCCAAUGUAUAGAGAUAUACAUUACCUAUAUAGGAGCGAACGAGGGGAAUUGAAACAUCUUAGUACCCUCAGGAAAAGAAAUCAAUAGAGAUUGCGUCAGUAGCGGCGAGCGAAAGCGCAAGAGGGCAAACCCAGUGCUUGCACUGGGGGUUGUAGGACUGCAAUGUGCAAGAGGUGAGUUUAGCAGAACAUUUUGGAAAGUAUAGCCAUAGAGGGUGAUAGUCCCGUAUGCGAAAAACAAACCUUAGCUAGCAGUAUCCUGAGUAGGGCGGGACACGAGAAAUCCUGUCUGAAGCUGGGUCGACCACGAUCCAACCCUAAAUACUAAUACCAGAUCGAUAGUGCACAAGUACCGUGAGGGAAAGGUGAAAAGAACUGAGGUGAUCAGAGUGAAAUAGAACCUGAAACCAUUUGCUUACAAUCAUUCAGAGCCCUAUGUAGCAAUACAGGGUGAUGGACUGCCUUUUGCAUAAUGAGCCUGCGAGUUGUGGUGUCUGGCAAGGUUAAGCAAACGCGAAGCCGUAGCGAAAGCGAGUCUGAAUAGGGCGCUUAGUCAGAUGCUGCAGACCCGAAACGAAGUGAUCUAUCCAUGAGCAAGUUGAAGCUAGUGUAAGAACUAGUGGAGGACUGAACCCAUAGGCGUUGAAAAGCCCCGGGAUGACUUGUGGAUAGGGGUGAAAGGCCAAUCAAACUUCGUGAUAGCUGGUUCUCUCCGAAAUAUAUUUAGGUAUAGCGUUGUGUCGUAAUAUAAGGGGGUAGAGCACUGAAUGGGCUAGGGCAUACACCAAUGUACCAAACCCUAUCAAACUCCGAAUACCUUAUAUGUAAUCACAGCAGUCAGGCGGCGAGUGAUAAAAUCCGUCGUCAAGAGGGAAACAACCCAGACUACCAGCUAAGGUCCCUAAAUCUUACUUAAGUGGAAAACGAUGUGAAGUUACUUAAACAACCAGGAGGUUGGCUUAGAAGCAGCCAUCCUUUAAAGAAAGCGUAAUAGCUCACUGGUCUAGUGAUUUUGCGCGGAAAAUAUAACGGGGCUAAAGUAAGUACCGAAGCUGUAGACUUGCGCACAACUUAGAUUAUUUAAGUUUAGAAUAUGAGAAACUAAGUUAUAUGUUUAGUUAUAUUUUUACUGAUUUUUAUAGAGUAAAGAUAGAAAUAAAACUUAGUAAAAUCAGUAAAAAUAUUCUUAGAUUAAAGUUAAGUAGUUUAAGUUGUGUGCAAGUGGUAGGAGAGCGUUCUAUUUGCGUCGAAGGUAUACCGGUAAGGAGUGCUGGAGCGAAUAGAAGUGAGCAUGCAGGCAUGAGUAGCGAUAAUUAAUGUGAGAAUCAUUAACGCCGUAAACCCAAGGUUUCCUACGCGAUGCUCGUCAUCGUAGGGUUAGUCGGGUCCUAAGUCGAGUCCGAAAGGGGUAGACGAUGGCAAAUUGGUUAAUAUUCCAAUACCAACAUUAGUGUGCGAUGGAAGGACGCUUAGGGCUAAGGGGGCUAGCGGAUGGAAGUGCUAGUCUAAGGUCGUAGGAGGUUAUACAGGCAAAUCCGUAUAACAAUACUCCGAGAACUGAAAGGCUUUUUGAAGUCUUCGGAUGGAUAGAAGAACCCCUGAUGCCGUCGAGCCAAGAAAAGUUUCUAAGUUUAGCUAAUGUUGCCCGUACCGUAAACCGACACAGGUGGGUGGGAUGAGUAUUCUAAGGCGCGUGGAAGAACUCUCUUUAAGGAACUCUGCAAAAUAGCACCGUAUCUUCGGUAUAAGGUGUGGUUCGCUUCGUAUUAGGAUUUACUCCGAAAGCGAAGAAACUUACAACAAAGAGUCCCUCCCGACUGUUUACCAAAAACACAGCACUCUGCU
rnacentral:rRNA from 1 species